rnacentral:rRNA from 1 species
GGCCUACGGGAGGCAGCAGUGGGGAAUAUUGCGCAAUGGGGGAAACCCUGAUGCAGCGACGCCGCGUGAGUGAAGAAGUAUUUCGGUAUGUAAAGCUCUAUCAGUAGGGAAGAAGAAAGACGGUACCUGACUAAGAAGCCCCGGCUAACUACGUGCCAGCAGCCGCGGAAAUACGUAGGGGGCAAGCGUUAUCCGGAUUUACUGGGUGUAAAGGGAGCGUAGACGGCUGUGCAAGUCUGAAGUGAAAGCCCGUGGCUCAACCG